GCAGCCGCGGUAACACCGGCGGCCCGAGUGGUGAUCGUGAUUAUUGGGUCUAAAGGGUCCGUAGCCGGUUUGGUCAGUCCUCCGGGAAAUCUGAUAGACUCAACUAUUAGGCUUUCGGGGGAUACUGCCAGACUUGGAACCGGGAGAGGUAAGAGGUACUACAGGGGUAGGAGUGAAAUCUUGUAAUCCCUGUGGGACCACCUGUGGCGAAGGCGUCUUACCAGAACGGGUUCGACGGUGAGGGACGAAAGCUGGGGGCACGAACCGGAUUAGAUACCCGGGUAGUCCCAGCCGUAAACGAUGCUCGCUAGGUGUCAGGCAUGGCGCGACCGUGUCUGGUGCCGCAGGGAAGCCGUGAAGCGAGCCACCUGGGAAGUACGGCCGCAAGGCUGAAACUUAAAGGAAUUGGCGGGGGAGCACAACAACGGGUGGAGCCCUGCGGUUUAAUUGGACUCAACGCCGGACAACUCACCGGGGGCGACAGCAAUAUGUAGGCCAAGCUGAAGACUUUGCCUGAAUCGCUGAGAAGAGGUGCAUGG
rnacentral:rRNA from 1 species